rnacentral:lncRNA from 1 species
AUUUAAAUUUCGCUUUUAAAUUUUAAGUAUUUAAUUUUUAAAAUUUAAAUUCAUCGUAUUUAGAAAUAAAACUAUUUCUAAAAUUUCUAUAAUUUUAAUUAAUGCAUAAUUUGAGAAACACUAAAACAUUUAAAAUAGAUUCCUAAAUUAAUGCCUAAUAAUUGCAUAAAUUUGGUUAAUCAAUUAAUUUUCUAAAUUAGUGCUAAUUAAUGCAUAAAUUUAGGAUCUCAAUUAAAAGUUUCUUUAAAUAUUAUAUUAUUUAAUUACCAAACUAACCUUGAAUAAAAUAAUCCUUUUACCUACUAAGUAUUAAAGUUAUAUUUUUACCCUCUAUUAAUCAACGGUUAAGAUAUUUUUUAUUUUUUUUUUAAAAAAAUACCGAAUCAUUGAGAAAGGAUAAAAUAAUAAUUUUAUAAAGAUAAAAAUGUUCAUUAACAGAUUUUAACUCUAUGAUAAAUAGAUUAGAACGUAAGAAGGAUAUUUUCAAUAUUAGCAUUCUAAGAGGGGUAAAUCAGAAAGUCAAAAAUUUUUCGGUAAUACAUAAGCAAUUGUCCAUAUUAUAAAAUAUCUGCUACGUAUUGCA